GCAUUUCACAGUGUGGCAGUUCAGUCGGCACAUUUUUAUAUAAUAUAAAGUUAACAGAUUAGUGGACUACGCUUGUAUAAGAAAACAUGCUUUUAACAAUGCUAGUCGCACUUUCAAAUUAUAAGUCUGUAGCUUGUGUGUAGUGCGACAUGUAUGUCCUAAAAAUAUGGUGAAGCGAUUAACAAAUUAUUAAGCCAGCGGAGACAGUGUUAUGCUAUGGAAAGUAGGCUAGUGUUUCAAGUUACGUGCCUAUGUAGUUUAUUGAGAUACAAAAAUGGUUGUCGUGAGGUAUAUUAGAUAUGCUUUAAGUCGCGUGUAUGUACAUAAAUGCUUGUCUGCUGGGUUGCGUUGUACAGUAUGCAAUAUAAAUGGUAGUGAGAUUGCAGUUGCGAACUUCUCAUAUAUAUCUUGGUCUAUCUAUCCUACGUUUAGUGUUAAGCUAGUAAACAUGCAGGCUUAGUUUGUACUAUCAUAGUAUGGCUCAAAAGCUUAGCAUAAAAUUACAUGCGAAUACAGUAAAUGAUUAUAAUUCAGGGUGCUCGUCUAUAUAGAGGGUCCUCCCCAUGGGGCCCCCCGUGAUAGGCGUGGGAGUCCGGUCGGCGUUUGUCUGUGAGUAUAGUUGGUGCCUCACAUGUGGACAGUCCCGAUGUCUGUCAGCCAAUGCCUUUGAGAGGUAUGUUAAAGUCCCGUUCGGUGCAGCCGGUCAACCAGCCCAGCACAGUGAGUCCCAGCAAGGAAAUACCUGGAUGGUAUGUCAGCCGUUGAAGGGCCUCCGGCUUGUCGUUUUGUGUUGCCGUCUGACUAUGAGUCCUCCAGCCCGGUUUGUGGAUGCUUCUCUGCGUGGAACAGACCUGCAUUUCCGUCUUCUGUUAGCGGCGGUAUGAUCUCUGCCGCUUGAUGCGGGUUGCCUCAGGGCUCUGCACCAUAAAUCCGUCAUGGUGGUUCCGGAGUGCGUGUGCAGGCUUGUGGGAUUUAUUGGGUCGUGUGCUGUGUAGGCGUCGUAGGUAGGUGUUGAUUCUCCGCCAUCGGGGUUGUACUCUCUUAUUCAGAGAGGGUCUCUGCCACGUCGGGCUGGGGUCGGGUCUUCCGUGUGCUUGUGGGGUUGUUUUGCCCAGAGGAGGCCCAGGUCAUCGGCAACCCUCAGCAUUACUUUCUCUCUCCUCGUGCGACGGCCAUCUUGGGAAGUGCUGCCGGGGAGUGUUCCAUAGCAGGGUGAUAGUUUGCGGCCCAGCUUGGCGUAGUAGUAGUUCCUUAUGUUGCUUAUGUAGACCGGGAUGACCCCCCCGGUCCAGAGGGGGGGGACCCAGACACUGGCCGGAGACCCAGGAGAGCGGCCGUCUCAUCCUGGCUCAAGCUCCUGCAUGCCUUGGGCCUUUGUCGGGUUACUGUAGGUGCCGAGCUUGGCCUUACAUAGUUACAUAGCUGAAAAGAGACUUGCGUCCAUCAAGUUCAGCCUUCCUCACAUUUGUUUUUCAACCUUGAUGGGUAUACCCUUGUAUCCCAGGAUCUGGG